rnacentral:piRNA from 1 species
UGUUUGUAGAUGGCAAAACCAAGCCGCAGA